CCGACGGGACGCAGCAGUGAGGAAUAUUGGUCAAUGGGCGCGAGCCUGAACCAGCCAAGUCGCGUGAGGGAUGAAGGUUCUAUGGAUCGUAAACCUCUUUUGUAAGGGAAUAAAGUGCGGCACGUGUCCUAUUUUGUGUGUACCUUAUGAAUAAGGAUCGGCUAACUCCGUGCCAGCAGCCGCGGUAAUACGGAGGAUCCGAGCGUUAUCCGGAUUUAUUGGGUUUAAAGGGUGCGUAGGGGGACGGUUAGGUCAGCGGUAAAAGACAGGGGCUCAACCACGGCGAGCCGUUGAAACGGGCGGGCGUGAGAUGAGGAGAGGUAUGCGGAAUGCGCAGUGUAGCGGUGAAAUGCAUAGAUAUUGCGCAGA
rnacentral:rRNA from 1 species